AAAGAAAAAAGAAAAAGGGUUAAUACAAAUUUCUGUGAGAAUAAUAAUCACAUGGGUAAGUUUGGUGCAUUGGUAAGGCUUUGAAUAAUAGAGCAGCGCGCCCUUUUAAUGUCUUAGGUCUUAGGUUCGACUCCUAUUGCCCUCUUUUUUUGUACUUUUUUUUUUUUGUUCUUUUACUCCUUACAUUCAAAUUUCAGAUUUCAGAAAUCAAACAUCGACAUUUCUUAUUUUCCUCAAAUUCCCAAACACCAAAACCCUAACCUUGACACCCUAUGACCCUAGCCAGUAGCCACUAGCCGCCGCGACACCGCACACCGAGACACCAACCGGCGACCGGGAGCACUGACGACCUCACGGAGUGACGGAGACACGGACGAGGGACGACUGUUCUGAAUUCAGACUUCAGAGUUCUUCUACAAUUAUUUCGAACCCACAGUUCGGAAUUCCUGGAUACGCCACUGUUGGCUGGCUCAUUUUAUUGAGAGAUGAAGGUCAAUUAUUUAGAGUUUCUCUCUUCUUUUUUUUUUUUUUUUUUUUU